UUUCUCUUUCUUCUUCGCCGUUCUUCUUCUAUGUUAUUCCCCUGUUCUUCUUCUGCGAGUGAUUAAGAGUUUAAUCGAGAGCUUUGUCAUCGGUAGGAGGUGUCGAAGAUCAUGGAGUGUUUGAUAGAGAUGGUGUUGUUGUCUAUUAUUGAUUCAGACUCGAAGGAGAAAUUAAAUUAGAAGAUGUAAUUUCUGAAGUUAGGAUUUGUGUGGAAUUGAGAUGUGAGUCGUGUUGCUGGUAGAUAAAUAAGAAGAGGGUUGUUGUUAAUUGUCGUUACUGAGUUUUUCAAAGGGUUGAAUCAGAGUUAGGGUUUUCAUAAGAAGUUCAAGAAAUAAUUAGAAGAUGAAGAUAGAUUAGGGGAUUGAAUUAAUGAUGGGUUUGUAAUGAAUUAAAGUAUAGUCGGAUGUGUUGAGUUUAAUUUCAGUUUCGGUAGGAAAGGGAUCCAGAAAUUAGGGUUUUUAGUAGAACAGAGAUUUAGGGUUCUUGGGUUUGGAAUUUAGUUGAGGAAGAUGGAAUUAAUGUUCAAGAGGAACGAUUGGAGAAGGGUACUGUGUUAAUUCAACAGAUAAGGUAGAAAUUUCAUAUGCAGGCUGAGCCGCUGUAAGGAUUAUGGUUUGCAUGUAAGGUGAACUUUAAUGGUUGUUGUUGGGGAUUGGAUUUAGUAACACCACAAACUGUUGGAGUUUGAAUAUGAAUUUGGGUUGUGAAUGAGUUAUAAAGACAUUAAUGAUCGAUCUGUAGAGAAGUAUGAAUGGUUUGAGUAUGAUCUCAAUUGAACUGUUUCAGGUGGUGGUGUUAUGAGUAACAGGGCUUUAGAGAUGGAGCUGUUAGUGUUAGUACUCGCUAUAGAAGGGCUAUUUGGAGUUGCAGUUGUUGGAGUUGUUUGUGAGAUGAUGAAGUUUGUAAUUGAUUAUCAGCUGAGUUGUUGCCAGUGGUGAUGUACAAGUUCUAUGUUCUAGCUAAGGUUAGUGGUAGAUCCAGUGGGACUCUCAAAUGAGGUCUGGUGAUGGUUGACGGUUGUUGUUCAGUGGUUGAGGACUUGGAGAUGCAAUUGAACUUCAAUGUGAAGAAUGGGCUUACAGUUGAGAAUUAUGUGGGUUUGUACUAGUAUGAUGAGAUGGAGAUACAAGUGAUGGUUUUGUACAAUGAAUAGAACUGAAGUUGGGUUUAGUAGGUACUUGAUUAUGGAGUUGUUGUUGAGGGUAAUUGCAGGUGCAAGUUGUAUACCUAGUGUUGUUGUUGUUAGGUAGAUUAGUAUUGCAGCUAGCUGAUUGUAGAAGAAGUGAUGGCUUAUUACUGCAAUUGCAGGCAAAGCUUAAAUUACAAUUGUAUAUUGAAUUUGUAGAAUUCUGUUAAAAUGAAGAGAUUGAAAUUGAGAAA